rnacentral:rRNA from 1 species
UACGGAGGGUGCAAGCGUUAAUCGGAAUUACUGGGCGUAAAGCGUGCGCAGGCGGUUUGUUAAGUCUGUUGUGAAAUCCCCGAGCUCAACUUGGGAAUUGCAAUGGAUACUGGCAGGCUGGAGUAUGGUAGAGGAAGGUGGAAUUCCCGGUGUAGCAGUGAAAUGCGUAGAGAUCGGGAGGAACACCGAUGGCGAAGGCAGCCCCCUGGGUCAAGAUUGACGCUCAUGCACGAAAGCGUGGGGAGCAAACAGG